UUGUUGGAAAUUAGGUUACAAUGAAUGGAAUUGCGCUUCACCCCGCUGCGCUUCAUCUUCUUCGUCUUCACGUCGCACCUCUGUUCCAGGUAAUACCAAUUUUUUUGUAACGCCUUCCCUAAACUACAGCAGGCUACACCCGAUAGAUCAGGGCAGCAUCGAUGCCCUGAUCAGGGCGCCUUCCCUAAACUACAUCGGGCUAAUGUGGAAGUGAAGGAACGAAAGUAGAUUUGAAGGAAAAGUUUGGGAGGUGCAAAAUCUGGUCUCGAAGAUUAAAGGC
rnacentral:lncRNA from 1 species